rnacentral:misc_RNA from 1 species
GAUGAAGAACGCAGCGAAAUGCGAUACGUAAUGUGAAUUGCAAAUUCAGUGAAUCAUCGAGUCUUUGAACGCACAUUGCGCCCCCUGGUAUUCCGGGGGGCAUGCCUGUCCGAGCGUCAUUGCUGCCCUCAAGCACGGCUUGUGUGUUGGGCCCCGUCCUCCGAUUCCGGGGGACGGGCCCGAAAGGCAGCGGCGGCACCGCGUCCGGUCCUCGAGCGUAUGGGGCUUUAUCACCCGCUCUGUAGGCCCGGCCGGCGCUUGCCGAUCAACCCAAAUUUUUAUCCAGGUUGACCUCGGAUCAGGUAGGGAUACCCGCUGAACUUAAGCAUAUCAAUAAGCGGAGGA